rnacentral:ncRNA from 1 species
CGGCUCUGGAGAACGUCCGGAUAUGGGCUGCCGAAGGUGCAACGUGUUGGGGUUCCGACACGAAAUCUCUCAGGCAAAAGGACAGAGUGAA